rnacentral:rRNA from 1 species
UACGAAGGGGGCUAGCGUUGCUCGGAAUCACUGGGCGUAAAGGGCGCGUAGGCGGCCAUUCAAGUCGGGGGUGAAAGCCUGUGGCUCAACCACAGAAUUGCCUUCGAUACUGUUUGGCUUGAGACCGGAAGAGGUAAGUGGAACUGCGAGUGUAGAGGUGAAAUUCGUAGAUAUUCGCAAGAACACCAGUGGCGAAGGCGGCUUACUGGUCCGGUUCUGGACGCUGAGGCGCGAAAGCGUGGGGAGCAAACAGG